rnacentral:rRNA from 1 species
GAUGAACGCUGGCGGCGUGCCUAACACAUGCAAGUCGAACGACAGCACGAUAAGCUUGUGCCUCUACCGGUAGCGGGUGACGGACGGGUGAGACAUGCAUCACCUUCUUCUUAUUCUUGGGUAAUUUCGGAGAACCAGUUAUGCUAAUACCGCAUAUAUCCUACGGGUGGGUGCAGUGGUGCUUCACGCUUUUCCCGUUUCUUAGAGCCGGUUCCGUGCCGGAUUAGCUAGUUGGUAAGGUAACGGCUAACCAAGGCGACGAUGCGUAGCUGAUCUGAGAGGAUGAUCAGCCACACUGGAACUGAGACACGGUCCAGACUCCUACGGGAGGCAGCAGUGGGGAAUAUUGGACAAUGGGCGCAAGCCUGAUCCAGCCAUACCGCGUGGGUGAAGAAGGCCUUCGGGUUGUAAAGCCCUGUUGUUGGGAAAGAAAAGCAGCAGGUUAAUACCCCGCUGUUCUGACGGUACCCAAAGAAUAAGCACCGGCUAACUUCGUG